GAUGAACGCUGGCGGCGUGCCUAAUACAUGCAAGUCGAGCGAACGGACGAGGAGCUUGCUCCUCUGACGUUAGCGGCGGACGGGUGAGUAACACGUGGAUAACCUACCUAUAAGACUGGGAUAACUUCGGGAAACCGGAGCUAAUACCGGAUAAUAUAUUGAACCGCAUGGUUCAAUAGUGAAAGACGGUUUUGCUGUCACUUAUAGAUGGAUCCGCGCCGCAUUAGCUAGUUGGUAAGGUAACGGCUUACCAAGGCAACGAUGCGUAGCCGACCUGAGAGGGUGAUCGGCCACACUGGAACUGAGACACGGUCCAGACUCCUACGGGAGGCAGCAGUAGGGAAUCUUCCGCAAUGGGCGAAAGCCUGACGGAGCAACGCCGCGUGAGUGAUGAAGGUCUUCGGAUCGUAAAACUCUGUUAUUAGGGAAGAACAAAUGUGUAAGUAACUAUGCACGUCUUGACGGUACCCAAUCAGAAAGCCACGGCUAACUACGUG
rnacentral:rRNA from 1 species